ACGCUGGCGGCGGCUUAUUUAUGCAAGUCGCGCGGAGAGAGGUAGCUUGCUACUGAUCUUAGCGGCGGACGGGUGAGUAAUGCUUAGGAAUCUGCCUAUUAGUGGGGGACAACAUUUCGAAAGGAAUGCUAAUACCGCAUACGUCCUACGGGAGAAAGCAGGGGAUCUUCGGACCUUGCGCUAAUAGAUGAGCCUAAGUCGGAUUAGCUAGUUGGUGGGGUUAAGGCCUACCAAGGCGACGAUCUGUAGCGGGUCUGAGAGGAUGAUCCGCCACACUGGGACUGAGACACGGUCCAGACUCCUACGGGAGGCAGCAGUGGGGAAUAUUGGACAAUGGGCGCAAGCCUGAUCCAGCCAUGCCGCGUGUGUGAAGAAGGCCUUAUGGUUGUAAAGCACUUUAAGCGAGGAGGAGGCUACCUUUAGUUAAUACCUAGAGAUAGUGGACGUUUACUACCAAAAUAAAGCCCCCGGUUAACUUUGUGCCAGCAGCCCGCGGAAAUACAAAGGGUG
rnacentral:rRNA from 1 species